CUUGGUCAUUUAGUGGAAGUAAAAGUCGUAACAAGGUCUCCGUUGGUGAACCAGCGGAGGGAUCAUUACCGAGUUUACAACUCCCAAACCCAAUGUGAACCAUACCAAACUGUUGCCUCGGCGGGGUCACGCCCCGGGCGCGUCGCAGCCCCGGAACCAGGCGCCCGCCGGAGGGACCAACCAAACUCUUUUCUGUAGUCCCCUCGCGGACGUUAUUUCUUACAGCUCUGAGCAAAAAUUCAAAAUGAAUCAAAACUUUCAACAACGGAUCUCUUGGUUCUGGCAUCGAUGAAGAACGCAGCGAAAUGCGAUAAGUAAUGUGAAUUGCAGAAUUCAGUGAAUCAUCGAAUCUUUGAACGCACAUUGCGCCCGCCAGUAUUCUGGCGGGCAUGCCUGUCCGAGCGUCAUUUCAACCCUCGAACCCCUCCGGGGGGUCGGCGUUGGGGACCUCGGGAGCCCCUAGGACGGGAUCCCGGCCCCGAAAUACAGUGGCGGUCUCGCCGCAGCCUCUCCUGCGCAGUAGUUUGCACAACUCGCACCGGGAGCGCGGCGCGUCCACGUCCGUAAAACACCCAACUUCUGAAAUGUUGACCUCGGAUCAGGUAGGAAUACCCGCUGAACUUAAGCAUAUCAAUAAGCGGAGGA
rnacentral:rRNA from 1 species